AUGUCCUCUCCCUUCUUAAGUUUCUUUCUGAACCAUAUGUAUAGGGAAAUGACAAUGGCGCCAACAGCUAGUGUGAGCGUUGGGAGUAGAAUUGGUAAGAAGUGCUUGUUACUUGAGCGAGCCCAGCUCUCCGAUCCUCUCCGCGUCCUGGCCCUCAACUGGACGACCGGCACGUCCUUCUGCCGCUGGGCCGGCGUCUCGUGCGGCCGACGCAGGCAGCGGGUCACCGCUCUAUGGCUGCCGAACACGCCCCUCAACGGAUCCGUGUCGCCGCACAUCGGUAAUCUCUCUUUCCUCUCCGUCCUCAACCUCGCCAACACCAACCUCACGGGCUCCAUUCCAGCAGAGCUUGGCAGGCUCCAUCGUCUUAGAUACCUCGUCGUUAGAGGCAACAGCCUCUCAAAUGCCAUACCAGCUUCCCUAGGCAACCUCACGCGACUCGAUUUCCUUCAUCUAGGUUUCAACAGACUCUCUGGCCAGAUCCCUCCUGAUAUGCUGCAACGUAUGCACAACCUCACGAUGAUUAGUCUGGCCGUCAAUGACUUGAGUGGCCAAAUACCACCGCAUUUGUUCAACAACACGCGCUCUUUGAGAGAAGUCUAUUUGGGAAAUAACAGCCUUUCAGGUCCUAUACCACACUCUAUUGCAUCCCUAUCCAUGCUUGAGAUCUUGGCCCUGCAUGUUAAUCAACUCUCUGGCGUGGUACCACAAGCCAUGUUCAACAUGUCAAAGUUGCAGGUCCUUGCAAUCGCAGGAAACUACAGACUAACUGGAACGUUUUCGACCAAUCAAAGUUUUAGUCUCCCAAUGCUGCAAGUUAUCGACCUUGGUAACAACAAUUUUGUUGGCCGGUUUCCAUCGGGGCUUGCAACAUGCCAGUACCUAGAAAGAAUUUCUUUGGCUGGCAAUUCUUUUGUGGAUGUUGUGCCGACAUGGGUAGCCAAAUUGCCAAACCUGAAAAUUCUUCGAUUGGGUUCUAAUAACCUUGUGGGCUCGAUCCCAACUGCUCUUAGCAAUCUCACCGAUCUUACCACGCUAGCACUCGACUCUGGCAACCUAACAGGGGAGAUUCCACAAGAAUUGUCUCUUAUGCAGGAACUCUCGACUCUGGGUAUUUCAUCCAAUCAAUUGACAGGUGAAAUUCCGGCUUCCCUCGGUAACUUAUCCAAAUUGUCUGUUCUGACAUUGGAUAAUAAUCGGUUGUCCGGUCAAGUACCAACAACACUUGGAAAAAAUGGAGCUUUGAACAUGCUUCUUUUGGCACGUAACCAUUUAGAGGGGAACCUAGACUUCUUGUCAGCUCUUUCCCAGUGCAGACGACUCCAAAUCCUUAUAAUAGGAGCUAACUCUUUCACAGGCGUCCUGCCUAGUCUUGUGGGAAACCUCAGUUCACGAUUAUAUGAGUUCAGUGCAUUUGAAAACCAGUUAAUAGGUGGACUCCCAGUAGAAAUUUCAAACCUAAGCAGCCUUGUACGGAUUGAUCUUAGUGACAACCUACUCACCAAGCCAGUCCCAGAAUCUACCGCGAUGUUGGAGAAUCUUGUAUAUCUUGAUCUCUCCAACAAUAACAUGUUAGGCCCUAUACCAACACAAAUGGGCAUGCUCAGGAGACUAGAGCGAGUUUCUUUCCAUGCAAACAAAUUAUCAGGCUCUAUACCAAGCAGCUUUGGUAAUCUUAGUUUGUUAGAAGAGAUCGACUUGUCGAGUAACCAGUUAAGUUCAAUGAUACCUUUGUGCUUUUUCCACCUAGAUAAACUUCUCAUACUAGAUCUCUCAAAUAAUUCCUUCACUGGUGCAGUGCCGGCCGAUGUUUCAUAUCUAAGACAAACAUAUAGAAUGGACCUUUCUUCCAACUUCUUGAUAGGAAGCAUCCCGGAAUCACUCGGACAACUUAACAUGCUAAUCGACUUAAAUCUAUCACACAACUUCUUCAAAGGCUUAAUUCCAAGCCCACUAGAAAAUUUAAAAAGCUUAGCAUCAUUAGACCUCUCAUUUAACAACCUCUCUGGUACCAUUCCCAUUCCCAUGUUGGCGAGGUUGAGGACGGAGAGGAAAGAGAGAUUACCGAUGUGCGGCGACACGGAUCCAUUGAGGGGCGUGUUCGGCAGCCAUAGAGCGGUGACCCGCUGCCUGCGUCGGCCGCACGAGACGCCGGCCCAGCGGCAGAAGGACGUGCCGGUCGUCCAGUUGAGGGCCAGGACGCGGAGAGGAUCGGAGAGCUGGGCUUUGAAGGCGAGCAGGGCGGCGAGGUCGGUGUCGCCGCCAUUGCUGUUGGCCGGGGUGAGGGAAGACGAAGAAGAUGAGACGGUGGAGAGUAGUAGUAGUACGAGGAUGAAGAAGGGAGUGCGGAUGAACCAUGGUAGAGCGGCCAUUGAUAUGAGCUGGGUGUGGACGUACUGUGGAGUGGACAGCGAGACUGAUGAGUGUCAGUCAAGACGGACAUAUUGCAAGGACACGCCACCGACUCUGCAGCUGGACUUGUCCUUGGGCAUGGCUGAUCACGGGGGACACAAAUUUGAGAUCGAGCCAAUCUUGCCUCGACAUGCCACCAUCCAUGGGGUCCGGGCCAGUGACGUCGUCGUCGGAGUCAGGGAAGAUGCGCCGCCACUCCUCGGCGUCGAACUCCUUAGCAUCGCCGUCGCCGCCGCCUUGCUACUCGUCGUCGGAAAUGAUGAUGACCUCGCUGUUGACCGCCCGUUCCGUGAAGAUGGCCUGCUCCGCGGCUCAGGGUGCUUGCGGCGGAGCUUGGCCAUGUACGCCUCGUCGGCGGCCUCCGCUGCGAGACGCUCCCUCGCCUCUCGGUCCUCCCGAGCCAUUGCCGCAUCCACCACCCCCCGUGGCAGUGGGACGAGGUGGGCGGGAGCCGUCCCCCACGGGAAGUUGAGGUGCGCCGUCACGCUGUGGAACCGGACCUGCCACGGGUAG
rnacentral:rRNA from 1 species